rnacentral:rRNA from 1 species
UCGGAGUGCUUGCACUCUGUGAAACAAGAUACAGGCUAGCGGCGGACGGGUGAGUAACACGUGGGUAACCUGCCCAAGAGAUCGGGAUAACACCUGGAAACAGAUGCUAAUACCGGAUAACAACAGAUGAUGCCUAUCAACUGUUUAAAAGAUGGUUCUGCUAUCACUCUUGGAUGGACCUGCGGUGCAUUAGCUAGUUGGUAGGGUAACGGCCUACCAAGGCGAUGAUGCAUAGCCGAGUUGAGAGACUGAUCGGCCACAUUGGGACUGAGACACGGCCCAAACUCCUACGGGAGGCAGCAGUAGGGAAUCUUCCACAAUGGACGCAAGUCUGAUGGAGCAACGCCGCGUGAGUGAAGAAGGGUUUCGGCUCGUAAAGCUCUGUUGUUGGUGAAGAAGGACAGGGGUAGUAACUGACCUUUGUUUGACGGUAAUCAAUUAGAAAGUCACGGCUAACUACGUGCCAGCAGCCGCGGUAAUACGUAGGUGGCAAGCGUUGUCCGGAUUUAUUGGGCGUAAAGCGAGUGCAGGCGGCUCGAUAAGUCUGAUGUGAAAGCCUUCGGCUCAACCGGAGAAUUGCAUCAGAAACUGUCGAGCUUGAGUACAGAAGAGGAGAGUGGAACUCCAUGUGUAGCGGUGAAAUGCGUAGAUAUAUGGAAGAACACCGGUGGCGAAGGCGGCUCUCUGGUCUGUUACUGA